rnacentral:rRNA from 1 species
UUGGGGGAAUAACUCAGGGAAACUUGAGCUAAUACCGCAUAAUGCAGCGGCUCGACAUCGAGACAGUUGUUAAAGCGGGGGAUUGGAGCAAUCCGACCUCGCGCCUGGAGAGAAGCCUGCGGCAGAUUAGCUAGUUGGUAAGGUAAUGGCUUACCAAGGCUACGAUCUGUAACCGGCCUGAGAGGGCGGUCGGUCACACUGACACUGACAUACGGGUCAG